rnacentral:rRNA from 1 species
GAGUUUGAUCUGGCUCAGAUUGAACGCUGGCGGUGUGCUUAACACAUGCAAGUCGAACGGCAGCACGAGAGAGCUUGCUCUCUUGGUGGCGAGUGGCGGACGGGUGAGUAACGCGUAAGAAUCUGCCUAGUAGUGGGGGAUAACUCGGGGAAACUCGAGCUAAUACCGCAUACGACCUACGGGUGAAAGUGGGGGACCUUCGGGCCUCACGCUAUUAGAUGAGCUUGCGUUGGAUUAGCUAGUUGGUGAGGUAAUGGCUCACCAAGGCGACGAUCCAUAGCUGGUCUGAGAGGACGAUCAGCCACACUGGGACUGAGACACGGCCCAGACUCCUACGGGAGGCAGCAGUGGGGAAUAUUGGACAAUGGGCGCAAGCCUGAUCCAGCCAUGCCGCGUGAGUGAUGAAGGCCCUAGGGUUGUAAAGCUCUUUCACCGGUGAAGAUAAUGACGGUAACCGGAGAAGAAGCCCCGGCUAACUUCGUGCCAGCAGCCGCGGUAAUACGAAGGGGGCUAGCGUUGUUCGGAUUUACUGGGCGUAAAGCGCACGUAGGCGGACUUUUAAGUCAGGGGUGAAAUCCCGGGGCUCAACCCCGGAACUGCCUUUGAUACUGGAAGUCUUGAGUAUGGUAGAGGUGAGUGGAAUUCCGAGUGUAGAGGUGAAAUUCGUAGAUAUUCGGAGGAACACCAGUGGCGAAGGCGGCUCACUGGACCAUUACUGACGCUGAGGUGCGAAAGCAUGGGGAGCAAACAGGAUUAGAUACCCUGGUAGUCCAUGCCGUAAACGAUGUCUACUAGCCGUUGGGGCCUUUGAGGCUUUAGUGGCGCAGCUAACGCGAUAAGUAGACCGCCUGGGGAGUACGGUCGCAAGACUAAAACUCAAAUGAAUUGACGGGGGCCCGCACAAGCGGUGGGAGCAUGUGGUUUAAAUUCGAUGCAACGCGAAGAACCCUUACCCUACUCUUGACAUUUCAGAGAACUUAGCAGAAGAUGCUUUGGUGCCUUCGGGAACUUCUGAAGACAAGGUGCUGCAUGGGCUUGUUCGUCAGCUUCGUGU